GCUUGCCUGGCUCCCUGAAUGCCAUGUAAGAAGCCUGCCAAAGAAAUUGCCAGCCUUUUUAUUUGGCAUUAGGGGAGUCAAGCAGGC
rfam:Vigna radiata var. radiata cultivar VC1973A chromosome 7, whole genome shotgun sequence